rnacentral:rRNA from 1 species
UUCUUACGGCGGACGGGUGAGUAAUGCUUAGGAAUCUGCCUAUUAGUGGGGGACAACAUUCCGAAAGGGAUGCUAAUACCGCAUACGUCCUACGGGAGAAAGCAGGGGAUCUUCGGACCUUGCGCUAAUAGAUGAGCCUAAGUCGGAUUAGCUAGUUGGUGGGGUAAAGGCCUACCAAGGCGACGAUCUGUAGCGGGUCUGACAGGAUGAUCCGCCACCUGGGACUGAGACCCGGCCCAGACUCCUACGGGAGGCAGCAGUGGGGAAUAUUGGACAAUGGGGGGAACCCUGAUCCAGCCAUGCCGCGUGUGUGAAGAAGGCCUUAUGGUUGUAAAGCACUUUAAGCGAGGAGGAGGCUACUGAGACUAAUACUCUUGGAUAGGGACGUUAC